rnacentral:rRNA from 1 species
GAUGGGAGCUUGCUCCCUGAUGUUAGCGGCGGACGGGUGAGUAACACGUGGGUAACCUGCCUGUAAGACUGGGAUACCUCCCGGAGAACGCGGGGUAAUAAACCCGGGGGUGUUUUCUCACACGCGCGUUUUUUAAAACAAAAAAAGGUGUGUUUUGGCUCCACACAUUAAGAGGAGGCCCCCGGCGCCCCAUUAACUAAGUUGGGGGAGGAAAGCGUCCACCACAAGGCAAAGGGUUGGUUCCCCCCCCGGAGAGGGGGUGUUCGCCCCACAGUGGGAAUUGAAACCCCCGCCCCCAGUCUUCCUAGGGGGAGGCCGCCAGUGGGGAAUUCUUCCGCAAAGGGAAGAAAUUUCGGACGGAACAACGCCCGCGUGAGUGAUGAAGGUUUUCGGAUCGUAAAGCUUUGUUGUUAGGGAAGAACAAGUACCGUUCGAAUAGGGCGGUACCUUGACGGUACCUAACCAGAAAGCCACGGCUAACUACGUGCCAGCAGCCGCGGUAAUACGUAGGUGGCAAGCGUUGUCCGGAAUUAUUGGGCGUAAAGGGCUCGCAGGCGGUUUCUUAAGUCUGAUGUGAAAGCCCCCGGCUCAACCGGGGAGGGUCAUUGGAAACUGGGGAACUUGAGUGCAGAAGAGGAGAGUGGAAUUCCACGUGUAGCGGUGAAAUGCGUAGAGAUGUGGAGGAACACCAGUGGCGAAGGCGACUCUCUGGUCUGUAACUGACGCUGAGGAGCGAAAGCGUGGGGAGCGAACAGGAUUAGAUACCCUGGUAGUCCACGCCGUAAACGAUGAGUGCUAAGUGUUAGGGGGUUUCCGCCCCUUAGUGCUGCAGCUAACGCAUUAAGCACUCCGCCUGGGGGAGUACGGUCGCAAAGACUGAAAACUCAAAAGGAAUUUGACGGGGGGCUCCGCACAAGCCGGUGGAAGCAUGUGGGUUUAAUUUCAAACCAACGCGAAGAAACCUUAACAAGGUCUUGGACAUCCUUCUGAACAAUCCCUAGAAAAUAAGGACGUCCCCCUUUCGGGGGGCAGAAGUGACAGGUGGUGCAUGGUUGUCGUCAGCUCGUGUCGUGAGAUGUUGGGUUAAGUCCCGCAACGAGCGCAACCCUUGAUCUUAGUUGCCAGCAUUCAGUUGGGCACUCUAAGGUGACUGCCGGUGACAAACCGGAGGAAGGUGGGGAUGACGUCAAAUCAUCAUGCCCCUUAUGACCUGGGCUACACACGUGCUACAAUGGACAGAACAAAGGGCAGCGAAACCGCGAGGUUAAGCCAAUCCCACAAAUCUGUUCUCAGUUCGGAUCGCAGUCUGCAACUCGACUGCGUGAAGCUGGAAUCGCUAGUAAUCGCGGAUCAGCAUGCCGCGGUGAAUACGUUCCCGGGCCUUGUACACACCGCCCGUCACACCACGAGAGUUUGUAACACCCGAAGUCGGUGAGGUAACCUUUUAGGAGCCAGCCGCCGAAG